ACUCCUACGGGAGGCAGCAGUGGGGAAUAUUGGACAAUGGGCGAAAGCCUGAUCCAGCCAUGCCGCGUGUGUGAAGAAGGUCUUCGGAUUGUAAAGCACUUUAAGUUGGGAGGAAGGGCAGUAAGUUAAUACCUUGCUGUUUUGACGUUACCAACAGAAUAAGCACCGGCUAACUUCGUGCCAGCAGCCGCGGUAAU
rnacentral:rRNA from 2 species